CAGCAGCCACGGUAAUACGUAGGUGGCAAGCGUCGUCCGGAAUUAUUGGGCGUAAAGGGCUCGCAGGCGGUUUCCUAAGUCUGAUGUGAGAGCCCCCGGCUCAACCGGGGAGGGUCAUUGGAAACUGGGAAACUUGAGUGCAGAAGAGGAGAGUGGAAUUCCACGUGUAGCGGUGAAAUGCGUAGAGAUGUGGAGGAACACCAGUGGCGAAGGCGACUCUCUGGUCUGUAACUGACGCUGAGGAGCGAAAGCGUGGGGAGCGAACAGGAUUAGAUACCCCAGUAGUCCCUGUCUCUUAUAC
rnacentral:rRNA from 1 species